rnacentral:misc_RNA from 1 species
AUCGAUCGAAUCCACCCUGGUAACCACACUUCCCCCCCGCGUGCGUUCCUGGCUCCUGCUGGGUUUGCGUUGGCCGCCUUGUGGCGGGCGCGGGCGCCGGUCCCCUGGCUGGGGCCCCUCGGGGCCGCAGUCCAGGUCCGGCGGGCGCGUAGGCGCUCCUAUCUGUUUUAACCUUAAAACUUUUGGGUCGCCUGCGUCGCUGGAAAUUCUCUUAUCUAACCCAACCCACCCCAAACCUCAACCUCCUCUGAAGCCACUGUGGCAGCCGGCUCUGCCGCCUGUCCACUCAAACCAAAGAC